GCCAGUGUGGUGUAGUAGUUUGAGUGUUGGACUACAACUCCAGAGAUCAGGGUUCAAUUCCCUGCUCAACUA